GUCAUUCUUCUCCCUCAGCUCGUCGCCCAGUUCAGACGCGUUUAGUAAUUCUUCUCGUGUACAGUAGUUUUAUUUCUCCAAAAAAUAGUAACUCAGUGCUAGGUUAUUUUAAAAUUAAUUUAAUAUUAUAAAUUAAUUUAAUUAUUUAUAAUAUACACACAUAUAUUUUAAUAUUUAUUAAAAUUAAAUAUUAAAAAAUAAUUAUUAAAAUGGCUGAUCAAGAUAACAAAGAUUUUACCGAAGAUAUUACUGAUCAAAGUUAUGAUCAAAACGGUGAUGCCCCGCAAAACGAGACUGGAAAUGGCGGUGAUGCCGGUGACGCCAAUGAGAACGGCCAGGAUUCACAGGAUGACAAAUCAGGCAGUGAUGGUAACCAGGAGUCACUUAAUGACAGGAAACUUUUCGUUGGUGGGCUCAGUUGGGAAACCAAUGACAAGGAAUUAAGAGAUCACUUUGGUAGCUAUGGUGACAUUGAAAGUAUCAAUGUUAAGACAGACCCUAACACCGGAAGAUCGCGAGGAUUUGCUUUUAUUGUUUUCUCUAAAGCUGAAUCUUUGGACAAGAUUAUGGCAGCUGGGGAUCACGUGAUAAACAACAAAAAAGUAGACCCCAAAAAAGCGAAAGCACGUCAUGGUAAAAUCUUCGUCGGUGGUUUGUCGACGGAGUUGUCUGACGAUGAUAUCAAGAGUUUCUUUGAUAAAUUUGGCAAAAUCGUCGAAGUCGAGAUGCCCUUCGACAAAACAAAGAGUCAGCGCAAAGGAUUCUGUUUCAUUACUUUCGAGUCUGAGCAAGUUGUCAACGAACUUUUGAAGACACCUAAACAGACCAUCAACGGUAAAGAGGUCGAUGUCAAAAAAGCAACCCCGAAACCCGACGGCAUGGGAGGCAUGCGCGGCGGAGCCGCAGCUGGCCGCGGAGCGGCCCGCGGUGGUCGUGGAGGCCGAGGCCGCGGCUUCGGUGGCCAAGGAUGGAGCCAAGGUGGCUACGGAGCCGGUGGAUAUGGCGGUGGUUACGGACAAGGAGGUUACGGUGGUGGAUAUGAUGGCUAUGGUAGUUAUGACUAUUAUGGCGGUGGAUAUGGCGGCUACGGUGGUUACGACUACACCGGAUACGACGGCUAUGGCUAUGGCGGUAGUUACGACGGUGGCUACAAUGGUGGUCGCGGUGGUGCACGCGGUAAAGGAGGCUCAGGCUACGGCGGCAAGCAGAGGGGUGGUGGUGGUCGCCAGAACCAAAGGCACCAACCCUAUUAAUUUGGGGAUUCCGUUUAUCGCGAGCUCAAUUAUGCUGUUUAAAUCAUUCAUUUACCACUGGUCUUCAAACUUACAGCAAAAUACACAAUUCAUUGAAUCAUCAUUCCAUAAAGUCAUCGCGUCAUCAACAAAGCAGACAACUGCCGCAAAAUAAUUAUAACAAUCAACAACAAGAUUCGCAACAUCAAAAAACCCACCAACAAACCAAUGUAUCAUACAUGCGUUAAAAUUUGUCCGGCCCUAAUGACCUCACAAUUUAUUAUUAAUAUUUAAUAAUUAAUAAUUAAUAAUAAUAAAUACUGAUAAUAAUAA